rnacentral:siRNA from 1 species
UAGCGGAGAGUGUCUUUCCGAUA